UCUGUGUCUAUUCUCCUCUUAUAAAUAAAGCUCAUUCAAUUUUCUCUCUCCAUUGUCCCAAAAGUACUACCUGUUAUUUAAUUCAAAGCUCUCUCUAAAAUAAAUUCCUCUCUUUUUUGCCUAAAUCAAAAUAAGAAAUUAUUUCUUAUCAAUACUUUUCAUCUUAAUUCCACCAUGUCUGCCUUUGGAAAAUUUGUUGUAAUUAUGGCUGUUGUUAUGUUAGCCAUUAGUUUAG
rnacentral:misc_RNA from 1 species